rnacentral:rRNA from 1 species
UAUCUCUGUAGAGUCUGCAUAUCAAUAAGCGGAGGAAAAGAAACUAACUAGGAUUCCCUUAGUAACGGCGAGUGAAGCGGGAAGAGCUCAAAUUUGAAAUCUUCAAGGUUUACCUUGACGAAUUGUAGUUUAAAGAAGUGUUUUCUGUUGGUGUUUUGGUAAAAGUUCUUUGGAAUAGGACAUCAUAGAGGGUGAGAAUCCCGUAUUUGACCAUUACUUUCCAGCUUUGUGAUACACUUUCAAAGAGUCGGAUUGUUUGGGAAUGCAGUCCAAAAUGGGUGGUAAAUUUCAUCUAAAGCUAAAUAUUGGCGAGAGACCGAUAGCGAACAAGUACCGUGAGGGAAGAUGAAAAGAACUUUGAAAAGAGAGUUAAACAGUACGUGAAAUUGUCAAAAGGGAAGCGUUUGACACCAGUGUUGUUUUCUCGAAAAUCAAUUAAAAAAAGUUGGAUUUUGUAUUGUUAAGACCUUAUCAGCUUACUGUACUCUUUUCUUGCUUUUUUUAAUGCACUUUUCGUUUAACAAGUCAACAUCAAUUUCUUUUGUUGUAAAAGAGUCAUUGGAAGGUGGCUUUCACUUCGGUGAAAGUGUUUAUAGCCUUUGGCUUCUGCAAUCGGAGAGAUUGAGGUCUGCAGCGUAGAUCCUUCGGGGCUAGAUACGUAGAUGCUAAGUUAUAGUUUUUUAUAGACAACUUGUUGACUAUAAUUAAUCAUGUAGCUUACUCGUUUGCGCUAUUUUACCUACGCUUAGGAUGUUGAAGAUGUAGCACAUCAU